rnacentral:rRNA from 1 species
AUUGAACGCUGGCGGCAGGCUUAACACAUGCAAGUCGAACGAAGUGGCGAACGGGUGAGUAACGCGUAAUCAACCUGCCCUUCAGAGGGGGACAACAAUUGGCAACGACUGCUAAUACCGCAUACUGAAGGAGGGGAUUGCGUCUGAUUAGCUAGUUGGGGUGGUAACGGCCCACCAAGGCGAUGAUCAGUAGCCGGUCUGCGAGGAUGAACGGCCACAUUGGUACUGAGACACGGCCCAGACUCCUACGGGAGGCAGCAGUGGGGAAUUUUCCGCAAUGGACGAAAGUCUGACGGAGCAACGCCGCGUGAGUGAUGACGGCCUUCGGGUUGUAAAGCUCUGUUAAUCGGGACGCGGUACCGGAAUAGAAAGCCACGGCUAACUACGUGCCAGCCGCCGCGGUAAUUC